CCUACGGGAGGCAGCAGUGGGGAAUAUUGCGCAAUGGGCGAAAGCCUGACGCAGCGACGCCUCGUGAGGGAUGAAGGUCUUCGGAUCGUAAACCUCUGUCAGCAGGGAAGAACGGACACUGUGCUAAUCAGCAGUGAAUUGACGGUACCUGCAAAGGAAGCACCGGCUAACUCCGUGCCAGCAGCCGCGGUAAUACGGAGGGUGCGAGCGUUAAUCGGAAUUACUGGGCGUAAAGCGCUCGUAGGCGGUAUGUCAAGUCAAGUGUGAAAGCCCCGCGCUCAACGUGGGAACUGCCUUUGAAACUGGCAAACUGGAGUGUGUGAGAGGAUAGUGGAAUUCCAGGUGUAGGAGUGAAAUCCGUAGAGAUCUGGAGGAACAUCAGUGGCGAAGGCGACUAUCUGGCACAUAACUGACGCUGAGGAGCGAAAGCGUGGGUAGCAAACAGGAUUAGAUACCCCAGUAGUC
rnacentral:rRNA from 1 species